rnacentral:rRNA from 1 species
ACGCUCGACACCUACGGGGGGCAGCAGUGGGGAAUAUUGCACAAUGGGGGAAACCCUGAUGCAGCGACGCCGCGUGAGUGAAGAAGUAUUUCGGUAUGUAAAGCUCUAUCAGCAGGGAAGAAGAUGACGGUACCUGAGUAAGAAGCCCCGGCUAACUACGUGCCAGCAGCCGUGGUAAUCUGAGGCGGGCUGGCAAGGC